GACGGAGGAUGCAAGUGUUAUCCGGAAUCACUGGGCGUAAAGCGUCUGUAGGUGGUUUAACAAGUCCACUGUUAAAGAUUGAAGCUUAACUUCAAAAAUGCCGUGGAAACUUUUAAACUUGAGUAUGAUAGGGGUAGAGGGAAUUUCCAGUGGAGCGGUGAAAUGCGUAGAUAUUGGAAAGACCACCAAUGGCGAAGGCACUCUACUGGGCCAUUACUGACACUGAGAGACGAAAGCUAGGGGAGCGAACAGG
rnacentral:rRNA from 1 species